ACAAUCAUUCAUGCCCCCUAGCUACAAGACCACUCCAUUUUACCCUUCACACUUUGCAUCAUCACUUCAUUUUUCACCCUUGGACCAUUGCACACCACAUACACUCUUUGCCGUGCAUUCUGCCUAGCCUAACCUGAUUCUCUAAGGUUUUUGGGGCCUAUAUAUACAUGUUUACACCCCUUGGCAAGGGGUUCACACUCUCAUAUUCACCAUUCAUCACAGAAAUUCGUCCAUACUCACCCUAGGUAGCAAAACACCC
rnacentral:lncRNA from 1 species